GUUGGUGAACCAGCGGAGGGAUCAUUAAGAAAGAGUUGUAACAGACUCGCUAAACCCACUGUGAACCUACCAGUAUGUCGUUGCUUCGGCAGGCGGCCCCAGGGCGGAGCCACGGCCUUUUAGCUAAGGUGCCUGCCGGAGGUCUACCAAACUCAUGUUGCUGUUGUGUCAUUCGGAGUUAAAAACAAAUAAGUCAAAACUUUCAACAACGGAUCUCUUGGUUCUG
rnacentral:misc_RNA from 1 species